rnacentral:lncRNA from 1 species
CUCGAUUUCAAGACGUGUCUUCUAUCUAGUGUACAUACUAUAAGGAGGUUGGAUAUGUUGUUUGAAAUUAUUCCCAUCCAAACUCCAACAAUAUGCGAGCAAAGACUUGAGGUCCUGGAGAUCGCCCAUCCUCCGCUAUUGCUGAUAUUCAAACAAUGAUUCAUCGACUCUCUCUAUUGGUAAUACUGCAGCUUCAUCUUCUUCUGACACCUCCAUUUUGCCAGAUAAGUUGUUGGAUAGAUAGUUCUUUGAUUCCAGUGCCUCCAACAAUAUGACCUUUAACUCCAAUAUUUUUCAAUAUGUUUCUCCUCUUCAUUCUCC